UACGUAGGGUGCAAGCGUUAAUCGGAAUUACUGGGCGUAAAGCGUGCGCAGGCGGUUUUGUAAGUCUGUCGUGAAAUCCCCGGGCUCAACCUGGGAAUUGCGAUGGAGACUGCAAGGCUAGAAUCUGGCAGAGGGGGGUAGAAUUCCACGUGUAGCAGUGAAAUGCGUAGAUAUCAUUUGGGAACGCCAAUGGUGAAAACAGGUAGCUGGGGGCUGUGCUGACACUGAGACACGAAAGCCAGGGGAGCAAACGGG
rnacentral:rRNA from 1 species